rnacentral:rRNA from 1 species
AGUGAACGCUGGCGGCGUGCUUAACACAUGCAAGUCGAACUAGAACGGAUUAUAGCUUGCUAUAAUUGUCAGCUAAGUGGCGCACGGGUGAGUACUGUAUAGGUAAUAUGCCUCUUACUAAGGGAUAACAAAUGGAAACGUUUGCUAAUACCCUAUACUCCUUAUUAACAUAAGUUAAUAAGGGAAAGAUUUAUUGGUAAGAGAUUAGCCUGUAUUGUAUCAGUUAGUUGGUGGGGUAAUGGCUUACCAAGACUAUGACACAUAACUGGUUUGAGAGGAUGAUCAGUCACACUGGAACUGAGACACGGUCCAGACUCCUACGGGAGGCAGCAGUGGGGAAUAUUGCACAAUGGACGAAAGUCUGAUGCAGCAACGCCGCGUGGAGGAUGACACAUUUCGGUGCGUAAACUCCUUCUAUAUGAGAAGAUAAUGACGGUAUUAUAUGAAUAAGCACCGGCUAACUCCGUGCCAGCCGCCGCUGUAA